AAGACUAUAAUUUCAGGGAUCAUUUCUAUAGUUUGUUAGUAGAGAAGUUUCUCUGAACGUGUACAGCACCUGAAACCAUGAAGAAGAGAUGGAGUGUUCUCUUCCUGAGUGCAAAGCUGGCUUUUGGUGUUGCUUUAGUAACUGCCAUUUGCCAUUGGUGAUCGUUCUUUCUCUGUUUUGGGAGAGCAAGAAGGAGAGAACACUGUCUCAGUGGG